rnacentral:rRNA from 1 species
UCUACGGGUGGCUGCAGUGGGGAAUAUUGGACAAUGGGCGAAAGCCUGAUCCAGCCAUGCCGCGUGUGUGAAGAAGGCCUUCGGGUUGUAAAGCACUUUCAGUUGGGAAGAAAGCCUUGUGGCUAAUACCCUCGAGGAAGGACAUCACCCACAGAAGAAGCACCGGCUAACUCCGUGCCAGCAGCCGCGUUAAUACGGAGGGUGCGAGCGUUAAUCGGAAUUACUGGGCGUAAAGCGCGCGUAGGCGGUCUGAUAAGCCGGUUGUGAAAGCCCCGGGCUCAACCUGGGAACGGCAUCCGGAACUGUCAGGCUAGAGUGCAGGAGAGGAAGGUAGAAUGCACGGUGUAGCGGUGAAAUGCGUAGAGAUCGGGAGGAAUACCAGUGGCGAAGGCGGCCUUCUGGACUGACACUGACGCUGAGGUGCGAAAGCGUGGGUAGCAAACAGGAUUAGAUACCCGAGUAGUC